rnacentral:rRNA from 1 species
GAUGAACGCUAGCUACAGGCUUAACACAUGCAAGUCGAGGGGAAACGACAUCGAAAGCUUGCUUUUGGUGGGCGUCGACCGGCGCACGGGUGAGUAACGCGUAUCCAACCUGCCCAUCACUUGGGAAUAACCUUGCGAAAGUAAGACUAAUACCCAAUGACAUCCCACGAAGACAUCUGAAUGGGAUUAAAGAUUUAUCGGUGAUGGAUGGGGAUGCGUCUGAUUAGCUUGUUGGCGGGGUAACGGCCCACCAAGGCAACGAUCAGUAGGGGUUCUGAGAGGAAGGUCCCCCACAUUGGAACUGAGACACGGUCCAAACUCCUACGGGAGGCAGCAGUGAGGAAUAUUGGUCAAUGGGCGAGAGCCUGAACCAGCCAAGUAGCGUGCAGGAUGACGGCCCUAUGGGUUGUAAACUGCUUUUAUAAGGGAAUAAAGUGGGUCUCGUGAGACUUUUUGCAUGUACCUUAUGAAUAAGGACCGGCUAAUUCCGUG